rnacentral:rRNA from 5 species
CUUACCACUUUGUGAUUCAUGACUGGGGUGAAGUCGUAACAAGGUAACCGUAGGGGAACCUGCGGUUGGAUCACCUCCUUACCUUAAAGAAGC